GAUUAGAUAUAAAAUUGUUUAAUUUGUGUCAUUUUGCAAAUAUUCAAUGCAGUGAGGUUUUUUUUCAAAUAAAAGUAAUCAUGUGCCGGCGAAAAAAGAAAGAACAUUUAAUGGGAUAGUGUAUAUACAGCUUAUAACGUGGCGUGAUUAAUGACAACGUUGUCAUGGCAACAUUCAUUUGUAACGCAACUUAUUUAUUAUUUACAAAGGAGAAAAUGUGAUUACAUUUCAACACAGAGAAGGGAACAUUAUUAAUAUGCGCUCCCCAUGAUUUCAUGUGUUUAUUGUCUGCUUCAUAAGGAUGUUUUCCGGGCGCAGACUAAUUCCUGGAAAAGAUGGCGAAGGAAGGAAUGAAUAAUUGAAGAAGCAAUUAAGGCCUGCAGGAGAAGAAAAGACCGGCUCAUUAAAAAUUCAUGCGGCAAAUCCCGCGAGACUUGGCGAGGCACUCGAUCGCGGCCACGCCCACGCCGCCGGUGCACGUGAGCAGCCAAAAAAACCAAAAAACAUCUCAACAAGAUGGCGCUUGAGUUCGUUUAUUUUAAACCCUUUCAACUCUUUUUGGACGGCUUCUGGGCGUCAAAUGGACCAAGUGUGAGACCCCCGAGGACGACGAGCGGUCCAAAAGUGAAAAUUGAGGUCGAAGUGGAUGAGCGAAGCAGUGGAAUAUUGAACUGCUUCCUGUCUCGGCAAGAAACUCCUGCGUGUCAGGAAGUGCUCCUUCCUGUGUUAAAAGCCUCAUCUGUGGAAGGGUCCGUCCAUCCUGUGCAACGUGAGCCGUCUGCGUGUCAGAAGUUCCGAGCAAAGUGGUACUGAUCCGGGCCUGAGAGGGUCCGUGGCGGUGUCGCGUGACAGCCAGUGGGAGGUAAUGGCUCGUUAUCAUUCCACAAAUGUGCACUUAGUCUGAGUUAAGAUGUCAUAAGUGAUUGUAAUGUAAUGACACCCCGACUCCUCCUGUUGCUCCGCCCACUUCAAAUGAUUGCCAUAUGCUGCCCUGCUUGGCCACGCCCCCUUACCCUCUCACACAAAUAUAUAUUUUUUCUCUAAAUGUCAAAACCCUUUUUUUUUUUUUUUCAAAUGUCACCUCCUUAUUUGCCUCCUACAUGCUUCCUUGCCGUAUGUGUGUGUGUGUGUGUGUGUGUGUGUGUCUGUGCACGGGCGCUCACUUUGGGUGCGUGAAGUCGUCCACCAGCGACACCUUCUCCACCAGGUCCCCGGCGAUGGCGCGCACCAGCUCGUAGAAGUCGUUGGCGUCGAAGUGGCGCCCGUCCGCUGGCAGCCAGAAGGAGAUGUCGUUGAGCAGGGGCGGGUACUUGCUGAGGGCCUGACGGGCGCAAACAGGAAGUCGGGAACGAAGACGUAAUGCCACAAGAAUGACACUCAUCACGCCAUCAUGUGGACUCGAAGUCUCUGUCCUCAUCAAGUUUGUCCUCCACUUCUUGUUUCAAAGACAUGUGCCCUCCUCGCAGUCUCCACCCGCCCACCACGUCCCAGGGGUGACAUCAAACGCUGCUGCUGAGUGCCACCUUUGUCAUCCCUCCAUCCUGGGAAGGGGGGCGGAGCUAUGAGGACGAAAACGCUGACUCAGCAAGAAGAAGAAUUAAAAAAACAAAAACAAAAAAAAACAAAGAGAAGAGAAGAGAAGCAAAGCCCCGCAGGGGUGACGUCGGACGCCGUUUAAUGAGAGAAGGAUGGAGAGUUGAGCAGCUGCUGCUCCAUGACUCCACAGCCCAGCACCUCCAUCCAGUCGCCCUGGAAACGCACUUCCAUCUCAAAGGAAGGAUGAGUGAAGGGGAAGUAACAGUCCACCCAGCGCACCUCCACAUCUGAGGAGGAAGCGG